GUGGCCGUAGCUCAGCUGGUAGAGCGCUGGAUUGUGGAUCCGGUUGUCGCGGGUUCGAACCCCGUCGGUCACCCCA
rnacentral:tRNA from 1 species